rnacentral:rRNA from 1 species
GAUGAACGCUGGCGGCGUCCCUAAUACAUGCAAGUCGAGCGAACAGACGAGGAGCUUGCUCCUCUGACGUUAGCGGCGGACGGGUGAGUAACACGUGGAUAACCUACCUAUAAGACUGGGAUAACUUCGGGAAACCGGAGCUAAUACCGGAUAAUAUAUUGAACCGCAUGGUUCAAUAGUGAAAGACGGUUUUGCUGUCACUUAUAGAUGGAUCCGCGCCGCAUUAGCUAGUUGGUAAGGUAACGGCUUACCAAGGCGACGAUGCGUAGCCGACCUGAGAGGGUGAUCGGCCACACUGGAACUGAGACACGGUCCAGACUCCCACGGGAGGCAGCAGUAGGGAAUCUUCCGCAAUGGGCGAAAGCCUGACGGAGCAACGCCGCGUGAGUGAUGAAGGUCUUCGGAUCGUAAAACUCUGUUAUUAGGGAAGAACAAAUGUGUAAGUAACUAUGCACGUCUUGACGGUACCUAAUCAGAAAGCCACGGCUAACUACGUG